rnacentral:rRNA from 1 species
AAUCAACGCUGGCGGCGUGCCUCAGACAUGCAAGUCGAACGCGAAAGUUCCCUUCGGGGAGCAAGUAGAGUGGCGCACGGGUGAGUAACACGUAGGUAAUCUACCUUUGGAUUGGGAAUAACACCGAGAAAUCGGUGCUAAUACCGAAUAAUGCAGCGGCCCCUAAUGGUGACCGUUGUUAAAGCGGGGGAUCGCAAGACCUCGCUUGAAGAGGAGCUUGCGGCAGAUUAGCUAGUUGGUAAGGUAACGGCUUACCAAGGCGACGAUCUGUAUCCGGUCUAAGAGGACGGUCGGACACACUGACACUGAAUAACGGGUCAGACUCCUACGGGAGGCAGCAGUCGGGAAUUUUGGGCAAUGGGCGAAAGCCUGACCCAGCAACGCCGCGUGAAGGAUGAAGUUUUUCGGAAUGUAAACUUCGUAAGAAUAGGAAGAAUAAAUGACGGUACUAUUUGUAAGGUCCGGCUAACUACGUGCCAGCCGCCGCCGUAACAC